rnacentral:rRNA from 1 species
GACGAACGCUGGCGGCGUGCUUAACACAUGCAAGUCGAACGGUAAGGCCCUUCGGGGUACACGAGUGGCGAACGGGUGAGUAACACGUGGGUGAUCUGCCCUGCACUUCGGGAUAAGCCUGGGAAACUGGGUCUAAUACCGGAUAGGACCCUGGGAUGCAUGUCCUGGGGUGGAAAGCUUUUGCGGUGUGGGAUGGGCCCGCGGCCUAUCAGCUUGUUGGUGGGGUGAUGGCCUACCAAGGCGACGACGGGUAGCCGGCCUGAGAGGGUGACCGGCCCACCUGGGACUGGGGUACGGCCCAGACUCCUACGGGAGGCAGCAGUGGGGAAUAUUGCACAAUGGGCGCAAGCCUGAUGCAGCGACGCCGUGUGAGGGAUGACGGCCUUCGGGUUGUAAACCUCUUUCAGCACCGACGAAGCGCAAGUGACGGUAGGUGCAGAAGAAGGACCGGCCAACUACGUGCCAGCCGCCGCGGUAA